rnacentral:rRNA from 1 species
CCUGGCUCAGGACGAACGCUGGCGGCGCGCCUAACACAUGCAAGUCGAACGAGCGAGAGAGAGCUUGCUUUCUCGAGCGAGUGGCGAACGGGUGAGUAACGCGUGAGGAACCUGCCUCAAAGAGGGGGACAACAGUUGGAAACGACUGCUAAUACCGCAUAAGCCCACGGCUCGGCAUCGAGCAGAGGGAAAAGGAGCAAUCCGCUUUGAGAUGGCCUCGCGUCCGAUUAGCUAGUUGGUGAGGUAACGGCCCACCAAGGCGACGAUCGGUAGCCGGACUGAGAGGUUGAACGGCCACAUUGGGACUGAGACACGGCCCAGACUCCUACGGGAGGCAGCAGUGGGGAAUAUUGCACAAUGGGGGAAACCCUGAUGCAGCGACGCCGCGUGGAGGAAGAAGGUCUUCGGAUUGUAAACUCCUGUUGUUGAGGAAGAUAAUGACGGUACUCAACAAGGAAGUGACGGCUAACUACGUGCCAGCAGCCGCGGUAAAACGUAGGUCACAAGCGUUGUCCGGAAUUACUGGGUGUAAAGGGAGCGCAGGCGGGAAGACAAGUUGGAAGUGAAAUCCAUGGGCUCAACCCAUGAACUGCUUUCAAAACUGUUUUUCUUGAGUAGUGCAGAGGUAGGCGGAAUUCCCGGUGUAGCGGUGGAAUGCGUAGAUAUCGGGAGGAACACCAGUGGCGAAGGCGGCCUACUGGGCACCAACUGACGCUGAGGCUCGAAAGUGUGGGUAGCAAACAGGAUUAGAUACCCUGGUAGUCCACACUGUAAACGAUGAUUACUAGGUGUUGGAGGAUUGACCCCUUCAGUGCCGCAGUUAACACAAUAAGUAAUCCACCUGGGGAGUACGACCGCAAGGUUGAAACUCAAAGGAAUUGACGGGGGCCCGCACAAGCAGUGGAGUAUGUGGUUUAAUUCGACGCAACGCGAAGAACCUUACCAAGUCUUGACAUCCUGCGACGGUUCUGGAAACAGUACUUUCCUUCGGGACGCAGAGACAGGUGGUGCAUGGUUGUCGUCAGCUCGUGUCGUGAGAUGUUGGGUUAAGUCCCGCAACGAGCGCAACCCUUAUGGUCAGUUACUACGCAAGAGGACUCUGGCCAGACUGCCGUUGACAAAACGGAGGAAGGUGGGGAUGACGUCAAAUCAUCAUGCCCUUUAUGACUUGGGCUACACACGUACUACAAUGGCGUUAAACAAAGAGAAGCAAGACCGCGAGGUGGAGCAAAACUCAGAAACAACGUCCCAGUUCGGACUGCAGGCUGCAACUCGCCUGCACGAAGUCGGAAUUGCUAGUAAUCGCAGAUCAGCAUGCUGCGGUGAAUACGUUCCCGGGCCUUGCACACACCGC